GCGUCGGUGGUGCAACGGUUUAGCACAUGCUCCCUUCCUGAAAGAGUAAGAUCUGGGUUCGAAUCCCGAUUGACGCA